rnacentral:rRNA from 1 species
GAUGAACGCUGGCGGCGUGCUUAACACAUGCAAGUCGAACGGAAAGGCCCAAGCUUGCUUGGGUACUCGAGUGGCGAACGGGUGAGUAACACGUGGGUGAUCUGCCCUGCACUUCGGGAUAUGCCUGGGAAACUGGGUCUAAUACCGGAUAGGAUCACAUUUUGGAUGGUGUGGUGGAAUGUUUUGCGGUGUGGGAUGAGCUGGCGGCCUAUGAGCUUGUUGGUGGGGUAGUGGCAUACCAAGGGGGCGACGGGUAGCCGGCCUGAGAGCGUGUACGGCGACAUGAGGACUGAGGGAGGGACCAGACGGCAACGGGAGGCAGCAGGGGAGAGUAUGGCGCAAUGGGGGCAAGCCUGAGGCAGAGGCGCCGCGUGGGGGAUGACGGGCUUCGGGUGGUGAACACCUUUCGAUGGAGACGAGGCGGAAGUGACGGUACCUGGAGAGAAAGCACCGGCUAACUACGUG